GAUGAACGCUGGCGGCGUGCCUAAUACAUGCAAGUCGAGCGAACGGACGAGAAGCUUGCUUCUCUGAUGUUAGCGGCGGACGGGUGAGUAACACGUGGAUAACCUACCUAUAAGACUGGGAUAACUUCGGGAAACCGGAACUAAUACCGGAUAAUAUUUUGAACCGCAUGGUUCAAAAGUGAAAGACGGUCUUGCUGUCACUUAUAGAUGGAUCCGCGCUGCAUUAGCUAGUUGGUAAGGUAACGGCUUACCAAGGCAACGAUGCAUAGCCGACCUGAGAGGGUGAUCGGCCACACUGGAACUGAGACACGGUCCAGACUCCUACGGGAGGCAGCAGUAGGGAAUCUUCCGCAAUGGGCGAAAGCCUGACGGAGCAACGCCGCGUGAGUGAUGAAGGUCUUCGGAUCGUAAAACUCUGUUAUUAGGGAAGAACAUAUGUGUAAGUAACUGUGCACAUCUUGACGGUACCUAAUCAGAAAGCCACGGCUAACUACGUGCCAGCAGCCGCGGUAAUACGUAGGUGGCAAGCGUUAUCCGGAAUUAUUGGGCGUAAAGCGCGCGUGGGCGGUUUUUUAAGUCUGAUGUGAAAGCCCACGGCUCAACCGUGGAGGGUCAUUGGAAACUGGAAAACUUGAGUGCAGAAGAGGAAAGUGGAAUUCCAUGUGUAGCGGUGAAAUGCGCAGAGAUAUGGAGGAACACCAGUGGCGAAGGCGACUUUCUGGUCUGUAACUGACGCUGAUGUGCGAAAGCGUGGGGAUCAAACAGGAUUAGAUACCCUGGUAGUCCACGCCGUAAACGAUGAGUGCUAAGUGUUAGGGGGUUUCCGCCCCUUAGUGCUGCAGCUAACGCAUUAAGCACUCCGCCUGGGGAGUACGACCGCAAGGUUGAAACUCAAAGGAAUUGACGGGGACCCGCACAAGCGGUGGAGCAUGUGGUUUAAUUCGAAGCAACGCGAAGAACCUUACCAAAUCUUGACAUCCUUUGACAACUCUAGAGAUAGAGCUUUCCCCUUCGGGGGACAAAGUGACAGGUGGUGCAUGGUUGUCGUCAGCUCGUGUCGUGAGAUGUUGGGUUAAGUCCCGCAACGAGCGCAACCCUUAAGCUUAGUUGCCAUCAUUAAGUUGGGCACUCUAAGUUGACUGCCGGUGACAAACCGGAGGAAGGUGGGGAUGACGUCAAAUCAUCAUGCCCCUUAUGAUUUGGGCUACACACGUGCUACAAUGGACAAUACAAAGGGCAGCGAAACCGCGAGGUCAAGCAAAUCCCAUAAAGUUGUUCUCAGUUCGGAUUGUAGUCUGCAACUCGACUACAUGAAGCUGGAAUCGCUAGUAAUCGUAGAUCAGCAUGCUACGGUGAAUACGUUCCCGGGUCU
rnacentral:rRNA from 1 species